rnacentral:rRNA from 1 species
UGGGGAAUAUUGCACAAUGGGCGAAAGCCUGAUGCAGCGACGCCGCGUGAGGGAUGACGGCCUUCGGGUUGUAAACCUCUUUCAGCAGGGAAGAAGCGAAAGUGACGGUACCUGCAGAAGAAGCGCCGGCUAACUACGUGCCAGCAGCCGCGGUAAUACGUAGGGCGCAAGCGUUGUCCGGAAUUAUUGGGCGUAAAGAGCUCGUAGGCGGUUAGUCGCGUCUGCUGUGAAAACUCGAGGCUCAACCUCGGGCUUGCAGUGGGUACGGGCUGACUAGAGUGCGGUAGGGGUGACUGGAAUUCCUGGUGUAGCGGUGGAAUGCGCAGAUAUCAGGAGGAACACCGAUGGCGAAGGCAGGUCACUGGGCCGCAACUGACGCUGAGGAGCGAAAGCAUGGGGAGCGAACAGGAUUAGAUACCCUGGUAGUCCAUGCCGUAAACGUUGGGCACUAGGUGUGGGGUCCAUUCCACGGAUUCCGUGCCGCAGCAAACGCAUUAAGUGCCCCGCCUGGGGAGUACGGCCGCAAGGCUAAAACUUAAAUGAAUUGCA